AUUGAACGCUGGCGGCAGGCCUAACACAUGCAAGUCGAGCGGGGUUUUCGGACCUAGCGGCGGACGGGUGAGUAAUGCGUAGGAAGCUGCCCGAUAGAGGGGGAUACCAGUUGGAAACGACUGUUAAUACCGCAUAAUGUCUACGGACCAAAGUGUGGGACCUUCGGGCCACAUGCUAUCGGAUGCGCCUACGUGGGAUUAGCUAGUUGGUGAGGUAAUGGCUCACCAAGGCGACGAUCCCUAGCUGGUUUGAGAGGAUGAUCAGCCCCACUGGAACUGGGACACGGUCCAGACUCCUACGGGAGGCAGCAGUGGGGAAUAUUGGACAAUGGGCGCAAGCCUGAUCCAGCCAUGCCGCGUGUGUGAAGAAGGCCUUCGGGUUGUAAAGCACUUUCAGUAGGGAGGAAGCGUUGUGUGUUAAUAGUACACAGCGUUGACGUUACCUACAGAAGAAGCACCGGCUAACUCUGUGCCAGCCGCCGCAGUAAAAC
rnacentral:rRNA from 1 species